ACCACAAGUGUGUGUCGAACUUUUCAUGACCUGAUGACUGUGUUUCCCAAUCCUGAUCCUGGAGAACCCCAGCACUGCACGGUUUUGGUGUCUCUCUUAUCUGCCUUGGAGUCUUCACUGAUGAGCUGAUGAGUUGAAUCAGGUCUAAAAUAUCAAGCUCAACAACUCACUCAAGAGCCAACCCUCACAAACCUUCCUAAAAACUAAGAGCUAUUACUGAGUCUCAGCGAAUCUUGCCAUGAUCAGCUCUUCCCAGAAGAGAAGGAAGACCAAGGAAAUGAUUUGCUCAGGAUGAGGAAUGAAGAUGGCCAUCUUGUGCUCAAACAAACAGAAGUCCUCUGAUGAUCUCAUCAGCCAAAUGAGGGGUUUUGACCAAAUGAUGCUCUUGAAAGGAGUGAAAGAAGAGGAUGUGCUAAAUUCUCUUCAGAGAAAAAGCUUCUCAAAAGGUCUCAAAACAGCUUGAAGAAUGGUCUGGGAUCUUAGGACUGAGAGAUCCUCUGGCUGAGAACAAGCACAUCAGUGCUGGAUAUCAACCACAAACUGUUUCCAGGCACGAGAGAAGAAGAACACGAUGGGGAGAUGAAACCAGUUCAGAUGUGAUGAUGGGAAUCAUUAUUUUCUGGAACAGUAUCUCAUGUCUUAUAUGUAUCACAUGAUCUGUAUCACAGUUGACUGGAUGGGACUCUGUGACUUUUAAGGACAUUUCAUCACUCAUCUGUGUGAACUGAUUAAUAUAUGAGGUUAAUGUAUUUUUGAUGAUAAUUAUUUUCAUUGAAUCUUAUUCGUCUUGAUGCUACUUUAUCAACUUUAUAGUCUAUGCUUCAAUAAAAUGAAA